UACGUAGGGUGCGAGCGUUAAUCGGAAUUACUGGGCGUAAAGCGUGCGCAGGCGGUUUUGUAAGCCAGAUGUGAAAUCCCCGGGCUUAACCUGGGAAUGGCAUUUGGGACUGCAAGGCUGGAGUGCGGCAGAGGAGACUGGAAUUCCUGGUGUAGCAGUGAAAUGCGUAGAUAUCAGGAGGAACACCGAUGGCGAAGGCAGGCCUCUGGGCUGACACUGACGCUCAUGCACGAAAGCGUGGGGAGCAAACAGG
rnacentral:rRNA from 1 species